CCUUAUAAUCAUGCUCAGUUCUUUAUUUUGUUUUUGUCUAUUCUUUUGUACGGAGAUGGAUUUUUGUUGGUCAUGCUAAUAAGGUAUUUUUAAAACUUUUUCCAGGCUUUGCAUUUCUUGCUUGGAUGCUGCAUAGAACCUUAUCCAUUUACUUGGAGGGUCAACCUUUACUGCUGAACAACAAAGGUUAACGCUUUGUGCUGCUAUGUUUCUCCCUCUUAGAGAUACUACUUACAGAGAAAAGAAAGCUAAGAAGUUUGUCCCAAUCUCCCAACAGUUGGUAGAUUUUCUAACCAAAGGACUGUUUUGGCCUCAUUUUGAAUGUCUUGUUAGCAAGUUGGGCAAAUUGGGUAUCUAUGUUUUAACUUAAAAAAAAAAGGGGGGGGGUUCUAACUUCAAAGUUGUUGGGAUAUUGUACAAUAAAUUAAUCCUAGACCCUCAGGAUAGAUUAGUUUUUUACUGAUCUUGUCCUUAUUUUUCUGUUUUAAUUUUCCUGUGUUAUUUAUUUUUGAAUUUGAUUGGUUAGAAAACCUCUAACCAACUCUGCCUAUAAAUCUCAAUCUCUGUAAAUGAAUAUGAAAUAAAUUCUUUUUUCCUCUUAACUAAAAAUAAAAAAAAUUGUCUUGGUACCUGCAUUGCAGUUUUCUGGCACUUCUAAUUAAAAAAAAAAUUAAAAUGAUGAUCGGGUUUGAACUUAGCCAAGUCAAGCCUUGAUCUAAACUUCAGGUGUUUGAGCUUAUAAACUUGAAGAUUCUUGGUUCAAUUCCUCCCCUGCAGAGUGGGGACUAAUAUGUAUGCUGUGUGUGCUCAAUGGGGGCAUGUGUUCAUUGUACCUUGUGUC